AGGAGAGUUUGAUCCUGGCUCAGGAUGAACGCUGGCGGCGUGCCUAACACAUGCAAGUCGAACGAAGCGUCCCGCCCGAAGAGAAGGAGUGCUUGCACAAUUUUAAUUCAAUUGGGAUGACUUAGUGGCGGACGGGUGAGUAACGCGUGGGUAACCUGCCUUAUACAGGGGGAUAACAGUUAGAAAUGACUGCUAAUACCGCAUAAGCGCACAGAAUCGCAUGAUACAGUGUGAAAAGCCGAGACGGUAUAAGAUGGACCCGCGUCUGAUUAGCCAGUUGGCAGGGUAACGGCCUACCAAAGCGACGAUCAGUAGCCGGCCUGAGAGGGUGAACGGCCACAUUGGGACUGAGACACGGCCCAAACUCCUACGGGAGGCAGCAGUGGGGGAUAUUGCACAUUGGGGGAAACCCUGAUGCAGCGACGCCGCGUGAGCGAAGAAGUAUUUCGGUAUGUAAAGCUCUAUCAGCAGGGAAGAAAAUGACGGUACCUGACUAAGAAGCUCCGGCUAAAUACGUGCCAGCAGCCGCGGUAAUACGUAUGGAGCAAGCGUUAUCCGGAUUUACUGGGUGUAAAGGGAGCGUAGACGGUUUGCCAAGUCUGAUGUGAAAGGUGAGGGCUCAACCCUUAAACUGCAUUGGAAACUGGUAGACUAGAGUGUCGGAGAGGUAAGUGGAAUUCCUAGUGUAGCGGUGAAAUGCGUAGAUAUUAGGAGGAAACAGGAUUAGAUACCCUGGUAGUCCCU
rnacentral:rRNA from 1 species